CAGGUCGGCUGGAGACCCUCGAGACCCUGGAAGGGGCCAACGGCAGCCUCACCAGCAUUGACUUCGACCCUUCGGGCUGUCAUGUCUUGGCUGCUACCCACAACAAUGCUGUGCAGCUCUGGAAGAUUGGAGAGUGUCGGUUCAA